rfam:Triticum aestivum genome assembly, contig: Triticum_aestivum_CS42_TGACv1_scaffold_221500_3B
CCAGUACUCCCUCCGUCCGAAAAUACUUGUCAGAGGAAUAAAUGUAUCUAGACAUAUUUUAGUUGUAGAUACAUCCAUUUUUAUGCAAUUCUCCGACAAGUAUUUUCGGACGGAGGAAGUACAAG